rfam:Globodera pallida, Lindley, WGS project CBXT01000000 data, contig: pathogens_Gpal_scaffold_46_contig_5
GCCCCGGUAGCUCAGUUGGAAGAGCUGCCACGGAUUGGGUGCAGGACGUGGGUUCGAGUCCCACCCGGGGAU